rnacentral:rRNA from 1 species
AGCGAACGCUGGCGGCAGGCCUAACACAUGCAAGUCGAACGAACCUUUCGGGGUUAGUGGCGGACGGGUGAGCAACCCGUGGGAACGUGCCUUUAGGUUCGGCAUACCUUAGGGAAACUUGUGCUAAUACCGAAUGUGCCCUUCGGGGGAAAGAUUAAUCGCCUUUAGAGCGGCACGCGUCGGAUUAGCUAGUUGGUUGAGGUAAUGGCGCACCAAGGCGACGAUCAGUAGCUGGUCUGAGAGGAUGGGCCGCCACACUGGGGCUGAGACACAGCCCAAACUCCUACGCAAUGGAGGAAUGGGGAAUCGAGCGAAACGGGGGGAGUGAUGACGCUGUUAUGACGGGUGAACGAUGAAGGUAGUAGGGAUGUAAAGUGUUUUUAACGGGGACGGUAAUGACGGUACCCGAAGAAGAAGCCCCGGCUAACUUCGCG